AGCGAACGCUGGCGGCAUGCCUAACACAUGCAAGUCGCACGGGGGGCUUCGGCCUCCCCGUGGCGGACGGGUGAGGAACGCGUAGGGACCUGUCGAGGGGUGGGGGAUAACCGCGGGAAACUGCGGCUAAUACCGCAUGACGCCGCGGCGUGACAGCCGGGGCCAAAGGCGAAAGCCGCCCGCCGAGGGGCCUGCGUCCGAUUAGCUGGUUGGCGGGGUAGCGGCCCACCAAGGCGUCGAUCGGUAGCUGGUCUGAGAGGGUGAUCAGCCACACCGGGACUGAGACACGGCCCGGACUCCUACGGGAGGCAGCAGUGGGGAAUAUUGGACCAUGGGCGCAAGCCUGAUCCAGCAAUGCCGCGUGGGUGAAGAAGGUCUUCGGAUUGUAAAGCCCUUUCGGCGGGGACGAUGGUGACGGUACCCGCAGAAGAAGCCCCGGCUAACUUCGUG
rnacentral:rRNA from 1 species